GAUGAACGCUGGCGGCGUGCUUAACACAUGCAAGUCGAACGAUGAAGCCCAGCUUGCUGGGUGGAUUAGUGGCGAACGGGUGAGUAACACGUGAGUAACCUGCCCUUGACUCUGGGAUAAGCCUGGGAAACUGGGUCUAAUACUGGAUAUGACUUCUCAUCGCAUUGUGGGGGGUGGAAAGAUUUAUUGGUCUUGGAUGGACUCGCGGCCUAUCAGCUUGUUGGUGUGGUAAUGGCUCACCAAGGCGACGACGGGUAGCCGGCCUGAGAGGGUGACCGGCCACACUGGGACUGAGACACGGCCCAGACUCCUACGGGAGGCAGCAGUGGGGAAUAUUGCACAAUGGGCGCAAGCCUGAUGCAGCGACGCCGCGUGAGGGAUGACGGCCUUCGGGUUGUAAACCUCUUUCAGUAGGGAAGAAGCGAGAGUGACGGUACCUGCAGAAGAAGCGCCGGCUAACUACGUG
rnacentral:rRNA from 1 species